UUCAUAUUAUUUUUGGAGUUAGAAUGGAAAAGUCAAAGGACAUAAUGUAGAUAAUAAUGUAGAUAAAGCAUUUAUUUCAUUGUUUGUCCCAUAAUGCAUACUCAGUGAUGAUUAACUCCCUCUCUUCUAAGAGCAGUCUAUUUUUGAUAGGGAUAAUUUUAUUGUAGAGACAGUUUGUGUUUUGGAGUUGGGAAAUAAGAAACAAACUUAAGGGGUGAUGUAUGUAGGCAGGAGCUUUGAGAGAAGGUGGAAAGUUUUUUUAAGACUUGAAAAGUGAAAAAAAUUAUCUAACGUACAUUGAACUUCAGUUAGAGACUCUUCUCUUGAACUUAAUGAUACUCUCAGGAGCAAAGCCGUAGGUUAACGAAGGCCAUUGUCACUGGUCGGGGUGGGGUAGUUCUGACUAACCCGAAAAGGUUCAGAGGAUUUAUUUGGGCUCUUCACUGUAUUUAAGAGAUGGCAGCAUAGUUAAGGUAGCUAAGGAAUCAGUCAAAGUUUCAGCAUUUCAAGAGAGCUGAAGAUCCAGACUUAGAGGCUGAUGGUGUUGGUUCAUCAGAGAAGAGCAUACUAACCCCACAACUUAGAAUUCAGGGUAUUUUCUAAACAGAAAAGGGAUCUUCUAAAAAUACUGGAUAAUUAAAACAUGGCAAAUGAUCACUUUAGGAGUUGUUUGCAGUGGGACGUCAUAUAAAAAGCUAGGAUGGGGUUGCAAAUAAAAGAUAUUUGUACUGAGCCUGUACACCUAGGGAAUUCUAGGUUAUUUUAAACCAGUCAUCAGGUCAUUGAUGAGUUCACAAUUAUCAUAAAAUAAAUGUUUUCCAUGAAGCUACAUUACACCAUGUUGGCAUUGUGGAGAGAGAACUUAUUCUUGUCUUUAUACUCUGGUACUCAGAGUUUAGAACAUACGAAUGAGUAAGACCAGAAGGAAGGGGGAGAUGGGAGAGGGAUGAGGAAGGGUAACAUUAUCCACUUUAUACAUAGAAAGGAGAAUGUGGUUUUAGAUGUGUACUGACGAUGGGCUUCCAAAUGCUUUAUCUCUUUUCUAAACAUAUUGAAACAAUAUGACAGGAUGAUUUCAGGUCUGCUUUUUUAGAGCAGGGUACUUGUCCCAAGCAGUGUAGAGAGAGAGACAGGAAGCCUCUCUCAAUGGAGAAGCAGAGAUGGCACAGGGUUCUUAGUCGUUUUCAGGGUAUAUUCAGUUCCCUCUUCCAAACUUGGGUAGAAUCUCAGAAUAGGGCAGAGAGAGAGAGGAGCCAGUAGCAUUAUUUUAGAAGAAAUCUUACAAAUAUGAUUUCAGGGUAAGAGUGGCCACCUCUAACAUGACACUCAUUGUAUUUGGAGAUCAUUGCUAGGAGACCGUUGGAACCAUAUUUUAUAAACACUGGAAUAUCAGAAGGGGCAUCUGAACAUCAUAGCUAUUAUAGGUUUUCCUUUAAUAUAGGAGCUCAGCCCAGCUUUAACAAUAUUUACAAAUAGGUGUUGUCCAGACUGAAUGUUCUUGGGUCAUGUAGUCUGUGAUGAUUUUGAAAGUGAAGGGAUGGGUAAAUUUAGCUACUAGGAAAUGAAUAAAAUGGGAAAAGCUGGCCGCCAAAUCUAGGUUCAGAUAUGUCACUCCAACAUAUCAGUAGGCAUAUUGGAGGCAGAAGUCAUGGGUUAAACUUCUUCUUUGAGUCUCUUCAACCCCUUGUGAUAUCACCUGGUUUUCCAGGAAAUGCCUGGUAAUUGGCAUACUGUAUAGAUUUUUAUACUUGUACUGAGUACCUGUGACUUUUACAUCUCUGUAUAUGAGAUAAUAAGGUUGAGAACAUUCUGUUUACAAGAAUUUCUCCUACAGUGCACAUUACAUUUAUUUGAGAGUGAUUUCUUGAUAAGCCCAUUUAAGAUGGACUCUGAAUCAAUGUGAGACUGCAUGUCAGAUAAUACCAGCAUUGUGGAGAAGAAAAUGAAUUUAUUUUCUAAGUGACAAGAAGUUUCUAAGUUAACUUCUGAGUGGGAGAAGGGUAUUAUGGAAAGGGGAGACGAGACAGAAAGGUGUGCACACAGUGCACAGUGAGGACACCAUCGGCCCACUUCCCCUGUACAUUCUCAUUGCUGGUAAAAUUUACUAAAAUACAUUAUACACUUUUCAAGAACUUCGUGGACACCUGUAUUUGGAAGGAAUGAAACACCGCAGUGUGAAAGAGAAACACACAUGAAACUAUAGAUACCAGAAAUAGAGGGUAAUUCUCAGAUUGUAGCAAAAGGAGAUGAGGCUUUUUCUACACAGGGUUUCCUAGCACCCAGACCUUUCUUUCAAGGGCUACAGAGACCCCAGCCUCUGUUAGAUUUCAGGUGCUUGUAUGCAGACCUGUGGCAGCACUUUCCUUUAUCCUGAUCCUCUCCGCAGGAAGGAAGAUGGAUUGGCUUCCCUGCAAUUACUGAACUGGAGCCAGGAGCUUACACACAGUUAGCAGCCAGAGCACUUGUCUCUGCAUUUCUAGAAGAUGAACAUAGGUGUGACUCAGCAGUGAUUUAAUAACCAUCCUGCUGCCCUGUGGAAAAUUUAUAUGGGUCUGUUCUGUCAAUUGCUGCCAUGCAGACAUCAGUGGCGGGCCUUUUGCAUGGGCGGGGGGCGGUUGGGGGAUUGCUCUGUGAUCCUGCAGGGGAAGGAAGAUGAAAUGGAUCAGAUUUCACAGAACGGUCCAAGUUGGGGUUACAGGGUUUUUCGUUUUUUUCGUUGAUUUGUUUUGUUUUUUGUAA